rnacentral:rRNA from 1 species
UGGGGAAUAUUGCACAAUGGGCGCAAGCCUGAUGCAGCCAUGCCGCGUGUAUGAAGAAGUCCUUCGGGUUUUAAAGUACUUUCAGCGGGUAGGAAGGGAGUAAAGUUAAUACCUUUGCUCAUUGACGUCACCCGCAGAAGAAGCACCGGCUAACUCCGUGCCAGCAGCCGCGGUAAUACGGAGGGUGCAAGCGUUAAUCGGAAUUACUGGGCGUAAAGCGAACGCAGGCGGUUUGUUAAGUCAGAUGUGAAAUCCCCGGGCUCAACCUGGGAACUGCAUCUGAGACUGGCAGGCUUGAGUCUCGUAGAGGGGGGUAGAAUUCCAGGUGUAGCGGUGAAAUGCGUAGAGAUCUGGAGGAAUACCGGUGGCGAAGGCGGCCCCCUGGACGAAGACUGACGAUCAGGUGCGAAAGCGUGGGGAGCAAACAGG